UUUUCGCAAAACAAGCAGUAA
rnacentral:piRNA from 1 species